CUCAGCACCAAGGUUACCAUUAUGAUUAUUAUGGCGGCUCUAAUCAUGCAAGUAAUUUGUUGUGUUGCGCAUUAUUGCUAUGUUGUCUUCUCAUGACCAACAGGCCAGAAAAAUAUAGGGAAAUGCUCUCUGGUUCCCUCUAGUGUCCAGUUUUAAUAUUCACAUCUUUUUGGCAUGCUCCUUGUUUCGCCUGUUUAGGUGGGCAACAGCAACGUCCAGCAGCCUCAGGUUCCAACUGCCGUCAUGGCUGCAGAUUCCAAGGCAGAGUGUAAGAGAAAGUGAGAGGAGAACAAGGGCUGGAAAGCAGGGAGAUGGGAAAGACGAAAAUGGAAGAGAGAGAGAGAGAGAGAGAGGAGUGAUGUAAAAAAAAUAAUUUCACUUCCCCUGACCCUCCACAGACGAUCAGGGGAAGCACUUAACUGACAGCUGAGAUCAGGUUACAAGAGGUCAUUUGCUAUUUAGAUGUGAUGAGUCCAUCAAAGGACACACUGUUCUUCCUCCCUCUCAACCUCAACAGAACCCUUGUAGCCCGAUCCACCGAACAUCCCAAAUGGCCAGUCUGGACAGGGCCAUUGUCACCUGCCAGCCUACCCAGGAAGAAGGUGCCAGCUUUCAACUCCAUGAGCAAAGGAGAACACCAGACAACACAGAGACACACAAUGAAAAUCUCAACGCGAUCAUAAAAUACAGCCCACGGAUGGGAAUGAGGCAGGAUGACUCCAUUCCAGCUGCCAGUCCUGGCUGCCGUCUAUGCAGGAGUCUAAAAUGCAGAAUCCACGCAGAAUGACAAUCUACUAUUCUUUCCUUCUUUGUAUCAGAGCACUGCAGAAUUUAAAAUGAUGACCCAAUAGGAAAUAUAACUACCAUUAAAAACAACACGUUGUAAAUAUGUUAAGAUAAUUAGACAACACCUGGAGGGGGAAAAAACCCACCAAAUGCACAGUUACAAGAUGUGGGUUACUUGGCUGAGUAAUGCUAUGAGUGAGUAGAUCAUAACUUGAAUACGAGCCAACGACGCAAUUCGAUUGCAAAAAAAGCCCUGUGCUAUUUUAGCCUGCAUUCACAGAAGUAUAGUCUCCAAAUCCUGCGAGAUACUAUCUCCCUCUAUUCAGUGCUGGUUAGGCCACAUCUGGAGUCCUGUGUUCAGUUCUGGACACCACGCUUCAAGAAGGAUGCUGAGAAACUGGAGCAUGCUCAGAGGAGAGUGACAAAGAUGAUCAAAGGACUGGAAACCAAACUCUAGGAGGAAAGACUGAAAGAACAGGGCAUGUUGACAGUGUGAAUGCUCAGGCGUGGCAAAUUUGAAGGAAUGCCUCUCUGGAGGGAAAAUGUCUGAACACUUUUGCAAAGCUGACCUGACUCUCACCUCCUAGUACAAUGGCAAUACAUAAGGUAUCGACUGUGUCAGGUUUAUUUUAAUGGCUAUUUCUACAAGAUCCUUUGUUCUCUCCAUAGUAUUCCAGUUUUAGAGCCCCCUUGCUUUAGUUAAAUCCAGAACGAAGCCAAGACCCCUUUCAGACAUCUGUCAACAUUGAUACUUUGGGAGUGGAACUUUUGAUGGAUCGUAAUCGAUAAGGAACUAGGAGUGUACAUGGAUAAUGGGAACUCGCAUGUAGAUGGCAAGGUGGUUCAUAAGACCCGUAGAUAACUCUGAACACCUCUGUACCCUGUCCUUAUCUCCCUUACACAGAGGUUGAGCUGAACAUCUCCUUUUUAUGUUUACAGUUUGUGCUUAAUCUCUCUCUCUCUCUCUCUCUCUCGGUUAGUGGAGAACCUUUCUGACCUAA
rnacentral:lncRNA from 1 species